UACGGAGGGUGCAAACGUUGCUCGGAAUCAUUGGGCGUAAAGCGCACGUAGGCGGUCCAGUAAGUCGGGUGUGAAAGCCCUCGGCUCAACCGAGGAAGUGCAUUCGAAACUACUGAACUUGAGUAUGGAAGAGGGUCGCGGAAUUCCCGGUGUAGAGGUGAAAUUCGUAGAUAUCGGGAGGAACACCAGUGGCGAAGGCGGCGACCUGGGCCAAUACUGACGCUGAGGCGCGAAAGCGUGGGGAGCAAACAGG
rnacentral:rRNA from 1 species